rnacentral:rRNA from 1 species
ACCAUGCAGUCGAGCGGGGGAGAUUGCUUCGGUAAUUGACCUAGCGGCGGACGGGUGAGUAAUACUUAGGAAUCUGCCUAUUAAUGGGGGACAACAUCUCGAAAGGGAUGCUAAUACCGCAUACGCCCUACGGGGGAAAGCAGGGGAUCACUUGUGACCUUGCGUUAAUAGAUGAGCCUAAGUCGGAUUAGCUAGUUGGUGGGGUAAAGGCCUACCAAGGCGACGAUCUGUAGCGGGUCUGAGAGGAUGAUCCGCCACACUGGGACUGAGACACGGCCCAGACUCCUACGGGAGGCAGCAGUGGGGAAUAUUGGACAAUGGGGGGAACCCUGAUCCAGCCAUGCCGCGUGUGUGAAGAAGGCCUUAUGGUUGUAAAGCACUUUAAGCGAGGAGGAGGCUCUCUUGGUUAAUACCCAAGAUGAGUGGACGUUACUCGCAGAAUAAGCACCGGCUAACUCUGUGCCAGCAGCCGCGGUAAUACAGAGGGUGCGAGCGUUAAUCGGAUUUACUGGGCGUAAAGCGUGCGUAGGCGGCUUUUUAAGUCGGAUGUGAAAUCCCCGAGCUUAACUUGGGAAUUGCAUUCGAUACUGGGAAGCUAGAGUAUGGGAGAGGAUGGUAGAAUUCCAGGUGUAGCGGUGAAAUGCGUAGAGAUCUGGAGGAAUACCGAUGGCGAAGGCAGCCAUCUGGCCUAAUACUGACGCUGAGGUACG